GAUGAACGCUGGCGGCGUGCCUAAUACAUGCAAGUCGAGCGAACGGACGAGAAGCUUGCUUCUCUGAUGUUAGCGGCGGACGGGUGAGUAACACGUGGAUAACCUACCUAUAAGACUGGGAUAACUUCGGGAAACCGUAGCUAAUACCGGAUAAUAUUUUGAACCGCAUGGUUCAAAAGUGAAAGACGGUCUUGCUGUCACUUAUAGAUGGAUCCGCGCUGCAUUAGCUAGUUGGUAAGAUAACGGCUUACCAAGGCAACGAUGCAUAGCCGACCUGAGAGGGUGAUCGGCCACACUGGAACGGAGACACGGUCCAGACUCCUACGGGAGGCAGCAGUAGGGAAUCUUCCGCAAUGGGCGAAAGCCUGACGGAGCAACGCCGCGUGAGUGAUGAAGGUCUUCGGAUCGUAAAACUCUGUUAUUAGGGAAGAACAUAUGUGUAAGUAACUGUGCACAUCUUGACGGUACCUAAUCAGAAAGCCACGGCUAACUACGUG
rnacentral:rRNA from 1 species